rnacentral:rRNA from 1 species
AACGGCCGUACCAUGCUGAAUAUACCGGUUCUCGUUAGAUCAUCGAAGUUAAGCAUCAUUGGGCGCGGUCAGUACUUGGCUGGGUGACCACCUGGGAACACUGCGUGCCGUU